rnacentral:rRNA from 1 species
CCUACGGGUGGCAGCAGUAAGGAAUAUUGGUCAAUGGACGCAAGUCUGAACCAGCCAUGCCGCGUGGAGGAUGAAGGUCCUCUGGAUUGUAAACUUCUUUUAUUUGGGAAGAAACUCCCGAUUUCCAUCGGGAUUGACGGUACCAGAUGAAUAAGCACCGGCUAACUCCGUGCCAGCAGCCGCGGUAAUACGGAGGGUGCAAGCGUUAUCCGGAUUCACUGGGUCUAAAGGGUGCGUAGGUGGGCAGGUAGAAAUCUCCGGGCGUAACCCGGAGACUGCCAUUGAUACUAUUUGUGUUGAAUACUCUGAAGGUGAGCGGAAUAUGUCAUGUAGCGGUGAAAUGCUUAGAUAUGACAUAGAACACCCAUUGCGAAGGCAGCUCACUACGGAAAUAUAGACGCUGAGGCACGAAAGCGUGGGGAUCAAACAGGAUUAGAUACCCGGGUAGUC